rnacentral:rRNA from 1 species
AACGAACGCUGGCGGCAUGCCUAACACAUGCAAGUCGAACGAGACCUUCGGGUCUAGUGGCGCACGGGUGCGUAACGCGUGGGAACCUGCCCUUAGGUUCGGAAUAACUCCCCGAAAGGGGUGCUAAUACCGGAUAAUGUCUUCGGACCAAAGAUUUAUCGCCUUUGGAUGGGCCCGCGUUGGAUUAGCUAGUUGGUAGGGUAAAAGCCUACCAAGGCGACGAUCCAUAGCUGGUCUGAGAGGAUGAUCAGCCACACUGGGACUGAGACACGGCCCAGACUCCUACAGGGGGCAGCAGUGGGGAAUAUUGGACAAUGGGCGAAAGCCUGAUCCAGCAAUGCCGCGUGAGUGAUGAAGGCCUUAGGGGUGUAAAGCUCUUUUACCCGGGAUGAUAAUGACUGUACCGGGAGAAUAAGCUCCGGCUAACUCCG